AUGGCUCAGGAUGAACGCUAGCUACAGGCUUAACACAUGGCAAGGUUGAGGGGCAGCAGGGAUUUAGCUUGCUAAAUCCGCUGGCGACCGGCGCACGGGUGCGUAACGCGUAUCCAACCUUCCCGUUACUCUGGGAUAGCCUUCCGAAAGGGAGAUUAAUACCUGAUGGUGUUUGAAAUUCGCAUGUUCUUCAAACUAAAGAUUUAUCGGUAACGGAUAGGGAUGCGUGACAUUAGAUAGUAGGCGGGGUAACGGCCCACCUAGUCUACGAUGUCUAGGGGUUCUGAGAGGAAGGUCCCCCACACUGGAACUGAGACACGGUCCAGACUCCUACGGGAGGCAGCAGUGAGGAAUAUUGGUCAAUGGUCGGAAGACUGAACCAGCCAAGUAGCGUGAAGGAUGAAGGUUCUAUGGAUUGUAAACUUCUUUUAUACGGGAAUAAAACCUCCCACGUGUGGGAGCUUGUAUGUACCGUAUGAAUAAGCAUCGGCUAACUCCGUG
rnacentral:rRNA from 1 species